GGGUUGUGAGGUUAAGCGACUAAGCGUACACGGUGGAUGCCCUGGCAGUCAGAGGCGAUGAAGGACGUGCUAAUCUGCGAUAAGCGUCGGUAAGGUGAUAUGAACCGUUAUAACCGGCGAUUUCCGAAUGGGGAAACCCAGUGUGUUUCGACACACUAUCAUUAACUGAAUCCAUAGGUUAAUGAGGCGAACCGGGGGAACUGAAACAUCUAAGUACCCCGAGGAAAAGAAAUCAACCGAGAUUCCCCCAGUAGCGGCGAGCGAACGGGGAGCAGCCCAGAGCCUGAAUCAGUGUGUGUGUUAGUGGAAGCGUCUGGAAAGGCGCGCGAUACAGGGUGACAGCCCCGUACACAAAAAUGCACAUGCUGUGAGCUCGAUGAGUAGGGCGGGACACGUGGUAUCCUGUCUGAAUAUGGGGGGACCAUCCUCCAAGGCUAAAUACUCCUGACUGACCGAUAGUGAACCAGUACCGUGAGGGAAAGGCGAAAAGAACCCCGGCGAGGGGAGUGAAAAAGAACCUGAAACCGUGUACGUACAAGCAGUGGGAGCCUCUUUUAUGGGGUGACUGCGUACCUUUUGUAUAAUGGGUCAGCGACUUAUAUUCUGUAGCAAGGUUAACCGAAUAGGGGAGCCGAAGGGAAACCGAGUCUUAACUGGGCGUUAAGUUGCAGGGUAUAGACCCGAAACCCGGUGAUCUAGCCAUGGGCAGGUUGAAGGUUGGGUAACACUAACUGGAGGACCGAACCGACUAAUGUUGAAAAAUUAGCGGAUGACUUGUGGCUGGGGGUGAAAGGCCAAUCAAACCGGGAGAUAGCUGGUUCUCCCCGAAAGCUAUUUAGGUAGCGCCUCGUGAAUUCAUCUCCGGGGGUAGAGCACUGUUUCGGCAAGGGGGUCAUCCCGACUUACCAACCCGAUGCAAACUGCGAAUACCGGAGAAUGUUAUCACGGGAGACACACGGCGGGUGCUAACGUCCGUCGUGAAGAGGGAAACAACCCAGACCGCCAGCUAAGGUCCCAAAGUCAUGGUUAAGUGGGAAACGAUGUGGGAAGGCCCAGACAGCCAGGAUGUUGGCUUAGAAGCAGCCAUCAUUUAAAGAAAGCGUAAUAGCUCACUGGUCGAGUCGGCCUGCGCGGAAGAUGUAACGGGGCUAAACCAUGCACCGAAGCUGCGGCAGCGACGCUUAUGCGUUGUUGGGUAGGGGAGCGUUCUGUAAGCCUGUGAAGGUGUGCUGUGAGGCAUGCUGGAGGUAUCAGAAGUGCGAAUGCUGACAUAAGUAACGAUAAAGCGGGUGAAAAGCCCGCUCGCCGGAAGACCAAGGGUUCCUGUCCAACGUUAAUCGGGGCAGGGUGAGUCGACCCCUAAGGCGAGGCCGAAAGGCGUAGUCGAUGGGAAACAGGUUAAUAUUCCUGUACUUGGUGUUACUGCGAAGGGGGGACGGAGAAGGCUAUGUUGGCCGGGCGACGGUUGUCCCGGUUUAAGCGUGUAGGCUGGUUUUCCAGGCAAAUCCGGAAAAUCAAGGCUGAGGCGUGAUGACGAGGCACUACGGUGCUGAAGCAACAAAUGCCCUGCUUCCAGGAAAAGCCUCUAAGCAUCAGGUAACAUCAAAUCGUACCCCAAACCGACACAGGUGGUCAGGUAGAGAAUACCAAGGCGCUUGAGAGAACUCGGGUGAAGGAACUAGGCAAAAUGGUGCCGUAACUUCGGGAGAAGGCACGCUGAUAUGUAGGUGAAGCGACUUGCUCGUGGAGCUGAAAUCAGUCGAAGAUACCAGCUGGCUGCAACUGUUUAUUAAAAACACAGCACUGUGCAAACACGAAAGUGGACGUAUACGGUGUGACGCCUGCCCGGUGCCGGAAGGUUAAUUGAUGGGGUUAGCGCAAGCGAAGCUCUUGAUCGAAGCCCCGGUAAACGGCGGCCGUAACUAUAACGGUCCUAAGGUAGCGAAAUUCCUUGUCGGGUAAGUUCCGACCUGCACGAAUGGCGUAAUGAUGGCCAGGCUGUCUCCACCCGAGACUCAGUGAAAUUGAACUCGCUGUGAAGAUGCAGUGUACCCGCGGCAAGACGGAAAGACCCCGUGAACCUUUACUAUAGCUUGACACUGAACAUUGAGCCUUGAUGUGUAGGAUAGGUGGGAGGCUUAGAAGUGUGGACGCCAGUCUGCAUGGAGCCGACCUUGAAAUACCACCCUUUAAUGUUUGAUGUUCUAACGUUGACCCGUAAUCCGGGUUGCGGACAGUGUCUGGUGGGUAGUUUGACUGGGGCGGUCUCCUCCUAAAGAGUAACGGAGGAGCACGAAGGUUGGCUAAUCCUGGUCGGACAUCAGGAGGUUAGUGCAAUGGCAUAAGCCAGCUUGACUGCGAGCGUGACGGCGCGAGCAGGUGCGAAAGCAGGUCAUAGUGAUCCGGUGGUUCUGAAUGGAAGGGCCAUCGCUCAACGGAUAAAAGGUACUCCGGGGAUAACAGGCUGAUACCGCCCAAGAGUUCAUAUCGACGGCGGUGUUUGGCACCUCGAUGUCGGCUCAUCACAUCCUGGGGCUGAAGUAGGUCCCAAGGGUAUGGCUGUUCGCCAUUUAAAGUGGUACGCGAGCUGGGUUUAGAACGUCGUGAGACAGUUCGGUCCCUAUCUGCCGUGGGCGCUGGAGAACUGAGGGGGGCUGCUCCUAGUACGAGAGGACCGGAGUGGACGCAUCACUGGUGUUCGGGUUGUCAUGCCAAUGGCACUGCCCGGUAGCUAAAUGCGGAAGAGAUAAGUGCUGAAAGCAUCUAAGCACGAAACUUGCCCCGAGAUGAGUUCUCCCUGACUCCUUGAGAGUCCUGAAGGAACGUUGAAGACGACGACGUUGAUAGGCCGGGUGUGUAAGCGCAGCGAUGCGUUGAGCUAACCGGUACUAAUGAACCGUGAGG
rnacentral:rRNA from 1 species